UACAGAGGGGGCAAGCGUUGUUCGGAAUUACUGGGCGUAAAGGGCGCGUAGGCGGCCUUCUAAGUCGAACGUGAAAUCCCCGGGCUCAACCCGGGAACUGCGUCCGAUACUGGAAGGCUUGAAUCCGGGAGAGGGAUGCGGAAUUCCAGGUGUAGCGGUGAAAUGCGUAGAUAUCUGGAGGAACACCGGUGGCGAAGGCGGCAUCCUGGACCGGUAGUUGACGCGUGAGGCGCGAAAGCCAGGGGA
rnacentral:rRNA from 1 species